rnacentral:rRNA from 1 species
CUACGUAGGGGGCGAGCGUUGUCCGGAAUGAUUGGGCGUAAAGGGCGCGUAGGCGGCCGCUUAAGUCUGGAGUGAAAGUCCUGUUUUCAAGAUGGGAAUUGCUUUGGAUACUGGGGGGCUUGAGUGCAGGAGAGGUUAUCGGAAUUCCCGGUGUAGCGGUGAAAUGCGUAGAGAUCGGGAGGAACACCAGUGGCGAAGGCGGGUAACUGGACUGCAACUGACGCUGAGGCCCGAAAGUGUGGGGAGCAAACAGGAUUAGAUACCCUGGUAGUCCACACUGUAAACGAUGAAUGCUAGGUGUAAGAGGUAUCGACCCCUUUUGCGCCGGAGUCAACACAAUAAGCAUUCCGCCUGGGGAGUACGGCCGCAAGGUUGAAACUCAAAUGAAUUGACGGGG